UACCCAUUUCCCAGAGCUCAGUCAUUUACUCAAAUAAUGCUCCACUGUGUAUGGACACAGUUAGGUUGGAGGACAAGAGCUCUUGGCAAAAUGAUGAAGAAACAACCGUUUUCUAUAACACCUCCUGCAAACCUCCCCGUAGGUCUCCGAUGUGCACACACAUAUCGGAUAUGUGCACACACAUAUCGGUCAUACACAUAGACAAGCCUACCUGUGCCGUCUUAGGCAAUGAACCAGCAUAGUGCCCUAUGACUGCUCACCUGUUCACUUUGUGAACAGGUACAGGUACCUGUUCAUUUUGCAGGCAGUGUAACGCUUUGGAUUUUCUUUAUUCUUAUCAAACUAUUUAUGUCCCACUUCCCUUGUUGGCAGUUUUCUAGUUAAACCAGGGAAUUAAUUCCAACGUGUUAAUGCUAUACUUCUCAAUCUCGAAGUAGAAACACAUUGAUGAAGGAAGUGGAGAGGAGAUGAAGCAUAAUAUGGCGAAUACUGGAAACCUAGUCCUCUUCCACCUUUAUAACGGAAAGGAAAAUGAAUAUACCUAAGGAUCUAGCUGAUGAUCUGGAUGAUAAAACUUGAGAAAAUGUCCCAGGAAACAAAA
rnacentral:lncRNA from 1 species